AGAAUUUAAUUUGGAUAUUGAGAAUAUGAAGUAUCCAGCCUGCUAGAGAAAUUGAGGGUUUCAUCAUCUUCUUCGAUAUGUUGGUAUGUAAACCAAAAAUGGAGAUUAAGCAUGUCGAGAUUGACGAACCGUCGUGAAUAGAAUCUGUGUGGUGUGUCGAUAGUAUCGAAUCGCUUUCAGUUCGUCCCCUCCGAGACGUUACGGGAUCUCUUGAAUCAUGGUCUUUAAGAAACAUCUUAACUCCAUCGACGCAAAUCAAGCACGAAGAUUCAUUAAAUGAUAAUUAUCACAAUUCUAGGCAGUGGUUCUCCAUCUAUAAAAAGACCGGACGGUGAAGCUUUGUUCCACAGUCAAGGUUAGGAUGCUGAGAUUCUGGGAAUCUAUGAAAUCAGUGGUGAAUUGAUGGAGGUGGACAUGCUAAGGCGACUGUCAUGCCAGCCACCGUGUGUUCACCGGCUCGCCACUUUCAGUCAACGAUGAUAUCCGUCGUACACCUAUGACCGUUGGCAACUAGAGGGUUCAUUGAUGAGAGAAUCAUGCAAUUGCGUCGUCUUCUUUUGGGCCUAAAUAUUACGUGUUGAUACUGUCUUUCGUCUAUAAAGAUCAGCUCGAGCCUAGAUGGUCGAUCUUGAUGCACAAUAAGGUUCUCUCUGUUGGGUUUUUACAAGAUGUGGUGGAUCCGAUGGUGUAUGUGAUGAAAGUUGAGAACACUCCUUUGGAUUCUUAUGUUGACUUAUGUGUAUCAUUGGUUACUUUCAUCUUCUCAAUACCAUGUACUUGCAUUCUGUUGAACCAGGGAAGCUUCAAGAUCAUCAAUCACCAUGCCUUCUUCAAAUGGAGUUACCAAAAAGAGACGUAUUCUCAGGAUUUCCCACUACAAAGACCUUGACGUUAGGAGAUGCAACUGCCAUUCCAGGGUCUCAAGGUUUUGCACCAAUCAGAAGUUCACAUAAGGACCUGGUCUGUAUCACCUUCUCUCAACAAAGGGAACAAGCAAUCCUCGAGUUCCAUUGCAAAACCUUCGAGAGCUUGGAUUAAUCUCUCUGAUCCAAGAAGUUUCAAAACAAUGGGUUGGUAUGGUCAAAUACUGCACCAGAAGCAAGCUACACCCGGGAAACCAAGUUCAUAAAAGGAGUAACUUACUUUGAAGAGAGGUGGUUAGAUGUCAUUCCUGUAGCACCUGAAACCGCAAUAUUGAUCAUUCUCUUUAAUAAUUUUUGUCUC